UGUCCAAUUCCUAGUGGAAGGGGGACCACGUA
rnacentral:sRNA from 1 species